AAUCAACGCUGGCGGCGUGCCUAAUACAUGCAAGUCGAACGCGAAAGUCCCGCAAGGGAUGAGUAGAGUGGCAAACGGGUGAGUAACGCGUGGGUGACCUGCCUUCGAGUGGGGGAUAACGUUCCGAAAGGGACGCUAAUACCGCAUGACAUCCUGCCUUUGAACAGGUGGAGAGCAAAGCCGGGGAUCGCAAGACCUGGCGCUUGAAGAGGGGCCCGCGUCCGAUUAGCUAGUUGGUGGGGUAACGGCUCACCAAGGCGACGAUCGGUAACCGGCCUGAGAGGGCGGACGGUCACACUGGGACUGAGACACGGCCCAGACUCCUACGGGAGGCAGCAGUAGGGAAUUGUUCGCAAUGGGCGCAAGCCUGACGACGCAACGCCGCGUGGAGGAUGAAGACC
rnacentral:rRNA from 1 species